rnacentral:rRNA from 1 species
AGUGAACGCUGGCGGUAGGCCUAACACAUGCAAGUCGAACGGCAGCACAGUAAGAGCUUGCUCUUACGGGUGGCGAGUGGCGGACGGGUGAGGAAUACAUCGGAAUCUACUUUUUCGUGGGGGAUAACGUAGGGAAACUUACGCUAAUACCGCAUACGACCUACGGGUGAAAGCAGGGGAUCUUCGGACCUUGCGCGAUUGAAUGAGCCGAUGUCGGAUUAGCUAGUUGGCGGGGUAAAGGCCCACCAAGGCGACGAUCCGUAGCUGGUCUGAGAGGAUGAGCAGCCACACUGGAACUGAGACACGGUCCAGACUCCUACGGGAGGCAGCAGUGGGGAAUAUGGGACAAGGGGCGCAAGCCUGAUCCAGACAUACCGAGUGGGUGAAGAAGGCCUUCGGGUUGUAAAGCUCUUUUGUUGGGAAAGAAAAGCAGCAGGUUAAUACCCCGCUGUUCUGACGGUACCCAAAGAAUAAGCACCGGCUAACUUCGUG